rnacentral:rRNA from 1 species
UACGGAGGGUGCGAGCGUUUGUCCGGAAUCAUUGGGCGUAAAGGGCGCGUAGGUGGCCCGGUGAGUCUUUGGUGAAAGCGCGGGGCUCAACCCUGCGUCGGCCAGGGAUACUGCCGCGGCUCGAGCACUGUAGAGGCAGGCGGAAUUCCGGGUGUAGCGGUGGAAUGCGUAGAGAUCCGGAAGAACACCGGUGGCGAAGGCGGCCUGCUGGGCAGUGGCUGACGCUGAGGCGCGACAGCGUGGGGAGCAAACAGG